UUGUGUUAAAUAUAUUCAUAGUCACGCCUUUUCUUUGACCUUGUGCUAUUUCAAUGGAGGAAGAGCAGAACCAACAGUACAUUUUUGUGGGACUAUUGUAUUAGUUUGGAAGCUUAAUACAGACAGGUCUGCAAAUGGAAGGAUAAAACUGAGGUUUUUUGUUUAAAAGAAUCAUGAAUAUAGGAGAUAUGAUGCUUCAAAGGCACUUAUAGAACACAAAUUUUAAUUAUCUGUCAAUAUGGCAUUAUCUAUUGUAGUAUUCAAUGCUUAUUUGUAGACCUUAUAGCAUUUGGAGUA